rnacentral:rRNA from 1 species
AUUGAACGCUGGCGGCAGGCCUAACACAUGCAAGUCGAGCGAGCGGCGGACGGGUGAGUAAUGUAUGGGGACUGCCCGAUAGAGGGGGAUAACUACUGGAAACGGUAGCUAAUACCGCAUACUAUCGGAUAACCCAUAUGGGAUUAGCGAGUAGGUGAGGUAAUGGCUCACCUAGGCGACGAUCCCUAGCUGUUCUGAGAGGAUGAGCAGCCAAAAUGGGAAUGAGACACGGCCCAGACUCAGACGGAGGCAGCAGUGGGGAAUAUUGAACAAUGGGCGCAAGCCGGAUGCAGCCAUGCAGCGUGUAUGAAGAAGGCCCUAGGGUUGUAAAGUACUUAAAGUCGGGAGGCGUUACCGACAGAAGAAGCACCGGCUAAAUCCGUGCCAGCAGCCGCGGUAAUUC